UACGUAGGGUGCGAGCGUUGUCCGGAUUUAUUGGGUUUAAAGGGUGCGUAGGCGGUCCUAUAAGUCAGUGCUGAAAUAUCCCGGCUUAACCGGGAGGGUGGCAUUGAUACUGCAGGACUUGAGUAAAGUUGAGGUAGGCGGAAUUGACGGUGUAGCGGUGAAAUGCUUAGAUAUCGUCAAGAACACCGAUAGUGUAGACAGCUUACUAAGCUUUAACUGACGCUGAGGCACGAAAGUGUGGGGAUCAAACAGG
rnacentral:rRNA from 1 species